CAAAAUGCAAAGCUGACUCAAACACUACAGAGUAUACUUUCAAACUGAGGAACAGAGAUGAGCUGAAUACUAGAGGGACCAGGAGAGGCAGAGAUGCUGAUCAGAUGUAAAAUAGAAAUCUGCAGCUCUGUGAAGGGGACCAGGCUAAGGAUGAGGUCCUGAUAUCAGGAGUUUAAGCCUGUGAUGAACCCUUUUGUUGUUUGUCUCCAGAAGAAGGAGCCCAGGAGACCACUCUUUCUUUAUGUCUCCCUGAUGUAUGAAAUCACUGCAGUGUCCCUCACACUGCUUCAGGAAUAACGAAGGCUGGAAAAAUACUUUUCUCAGGCAUCUGUUCUUUCCACAGUAGCCCUUCUUCUGUGGAUAGAGAGGUUUGUACUUUUAUUAUGACUAAAGUGCAGGUAUAGUUUUGUCAAGACAAAGUAAUUACAUCAAACACAGACCUGAUCUAGUCUAAUAAUGACAAAGCUACACAGCUGAAAUG